rnacentral:rRNA from 1 species
AACGUAGGAGGCGAGCGUUAUCCGGAGUUACUGGGCGUAAAGCGCGUGUAGGUGGUUGCAUAAGUCACUGUUGAAAGCUCCCGGCUAAACUGGGAGAGGUGCGGUGAGACUGUGUGGCUAGAGUAUGGGAGAGGGAUGCAGAAUUCCGGGUGUAGUGGUGAAAUGCGUAGAGAUCCGGAGGAAUACCAGAGGCGAAGGCGGCAUCCUGGCCUAAAACUGACACUGAGACGCGAAAGCAUGGGGAGCGAACGGG